AGCGAACGCUGGCGGCAGGCCUAACACAUGCAAGUCGAACGAAGUCUUCGGACUUAGUGGCGGACGGGUGAGUAACACGUGGGAACGUGCCUUUAGGCUCGGAAUAACUCAGGGAAACUUGUGCUAAUACCGAAUGUGCCCUUCGGGGGAAAGAUUUAUCGCCUUUAGAGCAGCCCGCGUCUGAUUAGCUAGUUGGUGAGGUAAAGGCUCACCAAGGCGACGAUCAGUAGCUGGUCUGAGAGGAUGAUCAGCCACAUUGGGACUGAGACACGGCCCAAACUCCUACGGGAGGCAGCAGUGGGGAAUCUUGCGCAAUGGGCGAAAGCCUGACGCAGCCAUGCCGCGUGAAUGAUGAAGGUCUUAGGAUUGUAAAAUUCUUUCACCGGGGACGAUAAUGACGGUACCCGGAGAAGAAGUCCCGGCUAACUUCGUGCCAGCCGCCGCAGUAA
rnacentral:rRNA from 1 species